rnacentral:rRNA from 1 species
UACGUAGGUGGCAAGCGUUAUCCGGAAUUAUUGGGCGUAAAGCGCGCGCAGGUGGUUUCUUAAGUCUGAUGUGAAAGCCCACGGCUCAACCGUGGAGGGUCAUUGGAAACUGGGAGACUUGAGUGCAGAAGAGGAAAGUGGAAUUCCACGUGUAGCGGUGAAAUGCGUAGAGAUAUGGAGGAACACCAGUGGCGAAGGCGACUUUCUGGUCUGUAACUGACACUGAGGCGCGAAAGCGUGGGGAGCAAACAGG